UGUGCAUAAGGACCGAUGGCUUACUUUUUACUCUGUUGUUGUGAGAACAAAAUGGGAAUCCCAACCUCUCAUCAACAAUCGGAUUUCACUUUUUUUCUCUUAACAACAGAGGAAAAUGUAUGCUUUUGAACAACACGAUCGGGAUCCUCACGUACA
rnacentral:pre_miRNA from 1 species